UAAAGGGCCCCCUUUAAGCUCUAUGUUC
rnacentral:piRNA from 1 species